UACGUAGGGGGCAAGCGUUGUCCGGAAUCAUUGGGCGUAAAGAGCGUGUAGGCGGCCCGGUAAGUCCGCUGUGAAAGUCCAGGGCUCAACCCUGGGAUGCCGGUGGAUACUGUCGGGCUCGAGUCCGGAAGAGGAGUGUGGAAUUCCUGGUGUAGCGGUGAAAUGCGCAGAUAUCAGGAGGAACACCAAUGGCGAAGGCAGCUUGCUGGGACGGUACUGACGCUGAGGCGCGAAAGCGUGGGGAGCGAACAGG
rnacentral:rRNA from 1 species